rnacentral:rRNA from 1 species
CAGUAGCCGCGGUAAGACAGAGGAUGCAAGCGUUAUCCGGAAUGAUUGGGCGUAAAGCGUCUGUAGGUGGCUUUUCAAGUCCGCCGUCAAAUCCCAGGGCUCAACCCUGGACAGGCGGUGGAAACUACCAAGCUGGAGUGCGGUAGGGGCAGAGGGAAUUUCCGGUGGAGCGGUGAAAUGCGUAGAUAUCGGAAGGAACACCUGUGGCGAAAGCGGCUCACUGGACCAUUUCUGACGCUGAUGCACGAAAGCUAGGGGAGCAAACAGGAUUAGAUACCCGCGUAGUCCCUGUCUCUUAUAA